rnacentral:rRNA from 1 species
UCGAGGGGCAGCAUAAAGGUAGCAAUACUUUGGUGGCGACCGGCGCACGGGUGAGUAACACGUAUGCAACCUACCUGUAAGAGGGGAAUAACCCGGAGAAAUUCGGACUAAUACCGCAUAAUACCGCUGAACUGCAUGGUUUAGCGGUUAAACAUUUAUGGCUUACAGAUGGGCAUGCGUAUGAUUAGCUAGUUGGUGAGGUAACGGCUCACCAAGGCAACGAUCAUUAGGGGUUCUGAGAGGGAGGUCCCCCACACUGGUACUGAGACACGGACCAGACUCCUACGGGAGGCAGCAGUGAGGAAUAUUGGUCAAUGGGCGAGAGCCUGAACCAGUCAAGUCGCGUGAAGGAAGAAGGUUCUAUGGAUUGUAAACUUCUUUUGUAAGGGAAUAAAAAAGAGUACGUGUACUCUAUUGUAUGUACUUUACGAAUAAGGAUCGGCUAACUCCGUGCCAGCAGCCGCGGUAAUACGGAGGAUCCGAGCGUUAUCCGGAUUUAUUGGGUUUAAAGGGUGCGUAGGCGGACCCUUAAGUCAGUGGUGAAAGUUUGCGGCUCAACCGUAAAAUUGCCAUUGAAACUGAGGGUCUUGAGUGUAAAUGAGGUAGGCGGAAUGUGUUGUGUAGCGGUGAAAUGCUUAGAUAUAACACAGAACACCAAUUGCGAAGGCAGCUUACUGGGAUACAACUGACGCUGAGGCACGAAAGCGUGGGGAUCAAACAGGAUUAGAUACCCUGGUAGUCCACGCAGUAAACGAUGAAUACUAGCUGUAUGCGAUAUACUGUAUGUGGCAAAGCGAAAGCGUUAAGUA